UAAAAUGGCGGUACGUGGACAGAGUCGU
rnacentral:sRNA from 1 species